rnacentral:tRNA from 1 species
CCAAAAAGGAGAGUUGGAUCACUCGUUGGGCUCAUAAUCCAUUUUUCGUGGGUUCAAAUCCCACUUUUGGCA